GCCCUCGUAGUUCAAUGGAUAGAACAACCCCGUCCUAAGGGGUAGAUAUAAGUUCGAUUCUUGUCGAGGGCA
rnacentral:tRNA from 2 species